rnacentral:misc_RNA from 1 species
GCCGACCAGGCGGCCUGUCUCUCUGCUUCGCUGUGGAUAUAUUCCCCUCACCUAUUGUCGAGCACCUCCUCUACUCCGCUGCCACGACUAUCAUCAUCUCCUCACCGUUGCCACACCGCCCUCACUCACUUUUCGAGUCGAAAGAAGAAAGCGCACACGCUCAAAGGCGCGCCUUCCACGUGGGGAUGUCUGGUAAAGCGCCCGCGCCCCUCUGCCUGCGGAGCCUCAAGAAGGAAGAUCUCAACUACGAGGGCCGCGUACGGGCCGAGAAACACAAGGAUGAGCUUAUCAUAGACUACACCGCCUACCUGGCGGCUCACCCGGAGAUCACCCCACUCCUACACGACAUCAUGCAGCACUUGCUGUUGCAGAAACCAGACCAUCCACUUGCGGCCAUGAGCGAGUUUGUGCGGGCGCGCACCUCGAGUUUUUCGUAGGCAUGUGACGCUGCACAAUGCGCCAGCGCAAGAACGAAAACAACCCCCUCUGCGCGUGGCUUUUGUGGGUGCUGUGCGUGAGCCCCUCACUUGCCCACACGCACACCUCCCAUCGUUUCCACCUCACCCAUCGCAGUGCCCUUGUCGACAUGUACAGUACUCACGGACGCCCUUAAGGGGCAAAUUGUGCCACGCUAUUAUCCAUUUAGGAGGCCGGCAUCGAAGACACGAAACACAUACCGCGCCAAUGAGUAUCUGCUCUCUUCCAUUUUGAGGGAGACUGGUGAGCGGCGGCUAUCAUGAGCUCCCUCUACCUGCCCACAGGGUCCGGUGUGUCCGUGGUGAAUCACGAAGAUGGCCGCUGCUAGUUAGAACGCUACCCCCUCUUCCCUUCCUCCCUUCCGUUCAGCGAACCUCGCCUGCCACCGUCCACUCCACUCUCCGCUGCUGCCCCUCCGUUUUCUCCUUCACGUCGCCUCCCUUCCGUUCGUCGAUCACCUGCGCACGAGCGUCGUCGCAUCAG